rnacentral:rRNA from 1 species
AAAGGAAUUGACGGGGGCCCGCACAAGCAGUGGAGUAUGUGGUUUAAUUCGAAGCAACGCGAAGAACCUUACCAGGGCUUGACAUGCAGUCGAAUGUGGUAGAAAUACAACAGUCCUUCGGGACGGCUGCACAGGUGGUGCAUGGUUGUCGUCAGCUCGUGUCGUGAGAUGUUGGGUUAAGUCCCGCAACGAGCGCAACCCUUGUUGUUAGUUGCCAGCAUUAAGUUGGGCACUCUAGCGAGACUGCCGGUGACAAAUCGGAGGAAGGUGGGGACGAGGUCAAAUCAUCAUGCCCCGUAUGUUCUGGGCUACACACGUACUACAAUGGCUAUUACAGAGGGAAGCGAAGGAGCAAUUCGGAGCAAAUCCCCAAAAAUAGUCCCAGUUCGGAUUGUGGGCUGCAACCCGCCCACAUGAAGUCGGAAUUGCUAGUAAUGGCAGGUCAGCAUACUGCCGUGAAUACGUUCCCGGGCCUUGCACACACCGCCCGU